UCAGAAUAAUUUUGCUAAAAAACGAAAGCAGAAGAAUUAAUUAUUAUGAAAAUGACGUGUAAUAAAACCACAGGUUGUGUGACAUUGCCGUACGGUACAUGCAGUCGGUGAGUCCACAGAUGACCAUGCAUUUGUUUUGAGUCGGAUUAAGCAGUGAAUGGGGGCACUAGUUGUCCAUCUUUAUAUGACCCAAUGACUUAAGAUAUCUAUAUGCAUAGAGACUUUUAAAAAGUAGAAGCAAUACAGCCUUAGAAAGGCAGUGCGUGCAUGGAAAAGGAUUAUCUGGUCCCGAUAUAAAUUUACGGUACCUAAUACAUUAGCGCUAAUUGAUAAUUUUUUGAUACUCUAAUGAUAAGAUUGACAAUUAGUGUCGAAUUGAGAAUAUAUCAGGUACGAUAAGUGUCGAAUUGAGAAUAUAUCAGGUAUGAUAAAUUGAUAUUAAAUAUUUAGUCGGUAGUUGGUAGGUACUUAGUAGCUAUUAAGUAAAUAUUAUAUGAGAUAUGAAGAUCAACAUGAAUUAUAUCUUUGUAAUUAAGUAGCUAUGCUUGUAUCUGGUCUCGAUUUGUAUAUCUAUUAUUAGGUAAAAUACUUUGAGAAAGCACAAAUAGUUUGUGGACAUGAGCGAUAGAUACUGUGGUUGGAUUAUCAACAAUGACAGUGUGAACGACUUUUCUUCAUGGUGUGCUUUAGCUACAUCUUCUACGCUUCUGCGUUGGUCACAUUCAUGUAAUCUUGAACAUGAAGCAACGUACCACAAAGGCUACCAAAACUUUAAUAACUGUGGACCAGAAGGAAGCAGUAUAUAGGUCCUACUACCUGUGCAUUUUUGCUGACUAAUAGUUUGAUGCUUAAGGUAAAUCCAAUACAAUUAGUGUAAAUGUCGUUUUACUAUAUAAUUAGGUAUAUCCAAUACAAAAUAAAUCUUUAAUCUUGAACAUAUUUAUAUAGGGGAUUCUAUGACUCACAAAGAAAACCUACGGAUACAUUUAUGUUUAUGUUUAAUCUCAUUUUCUCUUUUGUAAUUCCAUCUACUUUUCAUAAGAGUUUGUUUGAAACAACUUAUAUAUAAAAACUACGCUUGUUUUUAGAUGAUUAUUGUGGUAGGAUGUAAUCAACAAAAUAGACAAACACGGUAUUUCAAGAAAAGAAUAUAAUAAAAACUAUCUAAUUGAAUGAUCAAAUAGUUUCGGAUCCAAGUGAUUGUCGCAGAGAUGAUCUUUGAAGAAAUAUCUAAAAACUAGAUGGUAUUGGAUUAUUGAAAUGCAUGGUGAGUCUUAUAAGGGUGUCUUUCAAAUAAACUUAUUUGAGAAAUCCCUCAACUAAAGCCAUAUCAGUCUCCUUCUCACAAUAUUUAUAUACACACCACACCUUUUGUGAAAAUCUAAAAAUGCUAAAUUAGAAAUGAAAACUGACAGUUAAAGAACUCUCAUGAUCACUCUACAAGAUUGUGACCUGAAUGAUGAAUCAGCAGCUUAAGUUCACCCCAUUAAUAAAAUCUUUUGCCGUUCCCAUCCCGCCUCUAAUAAAAGCUUACUUAAUACGUAGUCCCAUCAACCCCUACCAUCAAAGUAGGGGUUGAAUUUGGUGCUCUUUAGCCUUUAAUCACCACAAGAGUCACAAAUUCUUCUCUCUCCUUAUCUUUCCAACCCCACUGAUAUCUCAGGCAGGUCUAUAAAUAGGAAGAACCAAGCCAUAUUAUACUCACUCAGCAAUCAUCUCUUGCAUACUUUCAUAUAUACAUUAUCGUGCUUCUUGUUAAGCAAAACAUGGCAUCCUCAAAGGCUUUUCUUCUUCUUGGUCUUGUCUUUGCUGUUCUCCUCAUCUCCUAUGAGGUCUUAGCUAUUCCAACUCGUGAGUUUCUCACUUUCUUAACUAAAUCAUAAAUAUUAAAUUAGUAAUUGUAUCUUUCUUUCCAGUAACGAUUUGUGAAUUUAUGCACAUUUUAAUUAAGGUGCACUGGUCGUGAAAAUAAUUAUGCUUCGAACUCUUUUUCUACAUGUAGGGUUAGUAGUUGUUGCACUUGCAUGGCUUAAUUUGCAUCUUAUUAAAUACAAACCGAUUUAUGAUUGUUAUAAGUUAUGUAUAUUGUUUUUGCUUUAUAUAUAAAGUUUUUGGUUGUUCUCUCAGAGUCAGAGGAGAGUACAGUCAACGGUGAUGCCCGCGGAUUUGGAGGUCAUGGCCGCGGAUUUGGAGGUCAUGGCCACGGACAUGGAGGUCAUGGCCACGGACAUGGUGGUCAUGGCCACGGACAUGGAGGUCAUGGGCACGGACAUGGAGGUCAUGGCCACGGACAUGAAGGGUAUGGCCACGGACAUGGUGGAUAUGGCCACGGCGGCCACGGCCACCACGGCCACCACGGCCACCAUGGCAUAGGGAGGCCUGGUGCUGCUGAGACUGAAAUCAAGAAUUAGAUAACCUGUUAGUUUCUGUGACUUACGUUGCAGGUGUGUUGUAAGGGUAGCAGUACGAAAUAAAGUUGUUUGGUUGAGUAAUCUAUAUGAACUCUCAAUCAUAAACUGUCCUAAGCUUGUUCUCAUGUUUCUCAUGUUCUCUGUAAUGUACGCAUUGUAAUGUACGCAUUGGAAUGUGUUCUCUUGUUAUGUGAUAAAAUGUGAUGUAACUUUCUCAAUACAUAUUAUGUCAAAAAUGUUUAGUGUGGCUUGGCUCCUUAAAAUUGAGGGGGAGCACAUCCUCAUAACAAAUGAGAUUUUGGCACUAGUUAAACUUCAAAAAAAUAAAAAUAAAAAGAGGUUAAAAGAAUUCAAAUGAAAAAAAAAAUUAAAGGAAUUUGCCAAGUGUCAAAACUCUAUUUCUUUUGAGGAGGAACUGCUCCUCAGUUUUGUGGAGCCAAACUUUUUCCUAAUAUUAAUGGAGUUCAUGUAGACUCAUUUGUUUUGGGUACCAAAUUUAAUGAAUUGUGUAUUCAUUGGUGGACCCAUAAGCAUACAGUUUUUAAUUUAGGUGAGAUACUCUCGGCAAUUUAAAUCAUGUCAAAAACAUGAUAUCAAAAAAAAUCAGCCGUCAUCGAGUUUGUAGAUAAAGAAAUAAUAUAUAUGAAUGAACGUAAGCUAUAGAGAAGAACAUUUUGUGGAAAACUAGAAAUUUGUAGGGAGAAAUAAGAGGAAGAAAGGGAGUAUAAUUUGCUCAAAUAAACUUGUAUUCCAUUCAUAUUUGGUGCCACUAUUUAUAGGGGUAGAGAGGCCUAAAUCAUUUACCACCAAUAAUUGAUAGGUGACAAAUAUAUAAUGAUGAGUAUUAUGAUAGGUUAAUAGUGGCCAGUAAUUGGGGAGGGUUCCCUCUCUCUCUCUGACUCCCUCACUUUGGAUUCUGUAUUGAUUGUUCCAUCCUUACAUCAUAAUCUCUUAUAUGUUGCCCAAAUUACUACAUCUUUGAAUUGCAUUGUAACCUUUUGGCCUACACAUUGUGUUUUUUAGGACAUUCUCAGCAGCAAGACGAUUGGUUGUGGUACUAGGACGGGCAAACUCUACUAUCUGGACUUGGCAUCUGACAGUGAAGCCAGCCUCAGUCAAGCUUACAAAAUUGGGGUUACGAGUGUUGAGAAGCAAACUUUCGGAGUAUGGUUAUGACAUCGCCGACUUGGACAUGCUUCAUUUGGAUAUUUACAGAAGCUAUUUUCUUCCUUAUUUUUCCAGUUAGAUAUCUCUAGUUUUACGUGUAACAUCUGUGAAAUAGCCAAGAGCCAUCGUGUUCCUUUCCCUUUAAGUUCACAUAAAAGUUUGGUUCCUUUUUCUCUUGUUCAUUAUGAUAUUUGGGGCCCGCUAAAAUUACCACUCUCGGGGGAGCUAGAUGGUUUGUCGCGUUUAUCGAUGAUUGCACACGUAUGACCUGGGUUUCCCUUCUUCAAACAAAAGGAGAAGUCAGUUUCAAGUUUCAACAGUUCUAUCACAUGGUGGAGACACAAUUUCAUACAAGAAUUCAAGUUCUUCGGUCUGACAAUGGCGGAGAAUUUUUCUACCAUAAUCUUACUCAAUUCUUACAAGAUCAUGGCAUCAUACAUCAACGCUCAUGCCCUUACACUCCCCAACAGAAUGGUGUGGCUGAACGAAAGAAUAAACACUUAUUGGAAGUGGUUCGUGCCUCUCUCUUUGGUGCCAAUAUGCCUCGGUCUUUCUGGGGAGAAGACGUCCUCUUUGUAGCAUACCUUAUCAAUCUGAUUCCCUCCAGUAUCCUUAAUUUCCAAACCCCCCCUUCAAACACUCUACCACCAUAUCCAAAUACCUUAUACCAAAAACCUAGAACUACGGAUUUUUGGUUGUGUGGUCUUUGUCUUCUUACAUGAUCACUAACACAACAAAUUGAAUCCCCGCGCCAAAAAGUGUGUUUUUAUUGGUUAUGCACCUCAUUAGAAAGGUUACCGGUGUUAUGAUUCUCCUAGUCAGAAGGUCUAUACUUCUAUGGCUGUUGUGUUCCGAGAACACGACAUAUAUUUUUCAGCCAUACAGGAGGAGCAUUGCGAUGCCAACACAUCUCAAAUUUCAAGACUUUUCCUUUCAGAAUUGUCACAUACUGAAAACGACCAGUUGCAGAAUGCAAGCGACCGGUCGCCGAAGACUCUGCCUGAAAACGACCGGUCGCCUAAGACUCUGCCUGAAAGCGACCGGUCGUCCCCCGGAAAUCCGAAUCUGCUUCAAAACGACCGGUUGUCUCUCUGUUGUCAAACUCAGGAGGAGAACAUUGAGGAGUUUUUGCCCGCUCAGGAGAAUUCUUUAACUCCAGUACCCCACCAAUCACCUGCUGAGGACGUCAUUCAGGUAACCUCUUUUCCUGAAACUAAUAACAUUAAUGAAAUAUCCUAUGAUGAUUUAAUUUCAGAAGGCACAUAGCCUACAUAUUAGAUUCCAAAAUGGAAGAACGGUGGAAAACCUUCAGUUCACUACGAAGCAGACCUUAAUGCAAAAUGGAAAUAUCCCAUCGACAAUUAUGUAUCCAUCAGUAGAUUAUCGGAAUCACGGGUACACUUUGUGAAGCAGUUGGAUGGCAUACCUGUUCCCAACAAUGUAACUGAAACACUAGAAGACUCAACAUGGAAAGAAGCCAUGAAUGAAGAAAUGCAAGCUCUUCAGAAGAAUGACACAUGGGAACUCGUGCCAUUACCUCAUGGAAAGAAGACUGUCGGAUGCAGGUGGAUUUAUACUGUGAAACUCAAAGUAGAUGGAUCCAUUAAAAGAUAUAAAGCUAGAUUGGUGGGGAAAUGCUACACACAAAGAUAUGGGAUAGACUACCAUUAGACUUUUACCCCAGUAGCCAAGAUUAAAACUAUCAGAGUUCUUCUAUCUUUAGCAGCAAAUCUCGAUUGGCCAUUACAUCAGUUUGUUGUAAAAAAUGCAUUCUUACAUGGAGACUUGGAAGAAGAAGUAUAUAUGGACUUGCCACAAGAAUGUAACUUAGCUCGUGACAAGGAGAAUCAAGUUUGCAAGCUCUGAAAGUCAUUGUAUGGGUUAAAGCAAUCCUCUAGGGCAUGGUUUGGCAGAUUCACUAAAUCUAUGAAGAAUUUUGAAUAUAUACAAAGUAAUGUAGAUCACACCUUGUUCUUGAAGCAUGAUGGAAGAAGACUUACUGCACUGAUUGUUUAUGUGGAUGACAUAGUCGUAACUGGAAACGACACAGAAGAGCAAUUGACACUGCAGAAAUAUUUGUCUCAGGAAUUUGAGAUGAAGAAUCUAGGUGAUCUGAAGUACUUUAUAGGAAUUGAAGUAGCUAGGUCCAAAACUAGUAUAUUUCUGUCUUAAAAGAAGUAUGUAUUAGAUCUGCUCACUGAAAUAGGAAUGCUUGGAUGCAAACCUGCUGAUACACCCAUCGAGAUGAAUCACAAGUUAUGUGAAGACAUGGAUCAAGAACCAACCAAUAAGGAACAGUACCAACACCUUGUUGGAAGGUUGAUAUAUUUAGCUCACACAAGACCAGAUAUUGCAUAUGCUGUGAGUAUGGUUAGUCAGUUUAUGCAUUCACCCAGUGUGUCCCAUAGGAAUGCAGUUGAUCGGAUCUUAAGAUACUUAAAGUCAGCACAUGGAAAAAGGGUUAACAUUCUAAAAAAAUAGAGAUCUCAAAGUUGUUGGAUAUACAAAUGCUGAUUGGGCUGGCUCCGUUACUGACAGACGCUCUACUUCAGGUUACUUCACUUGUGGGAGGUAACCUAGUCACUUGGCGGAGUGAAAAACAAAAUGUGGUUUCUCGAUCUAGUGCUGAAGUAGAGUAUUGAGGAAUGGCUCACGGAGUUUGUGAAUUACUAUGGAUCAGAAGACUAUUGACAGAAUUGGGGUUUAAGCCAGGAAAGCCAAUGGAGUUACAUUGUGAUAACAAGUCAGCCAUCGAUAUUGCCCAUAGUCCAAUUCAACAUGAUCGAACUAAACAUGUUGAGGUGGAUAGACAUUUUAUCAAAGAAAAACUUGAGAAGAAGAUCAUCCGCCUACCGUUGGUAAAAUUAGAAGAUUAGUUGGCAAAUAUCUUAACCAAAGCUGUUUGUGGAAGAGUAUUUUCUGACUCACGUACCAAGUUGGGCAUUGGUGACAUAUAUGCACCAACUUGAGGAGGAGUGUCGACUUGAGUCUCCUAAUUAAUCAAGGAGGUUUACUUCCUUGAUUAAUUAAGGGAUUUACUUUCCUAUUUUUUAUAUAGUUGAUAAAUCAUUGUAUAAUUAGAAGAUACUUGCCUAAUUCUUUACUGUAUCUAAUUCCUUGUAUAGCACCCUGUAAACUCUUAUAUAUACCUCAUUAUGGAGAAGAAUAAAGUUAACCUAAUACAUUCAAAUCAUAUUCAUAUUUUAGCAUUCUCCUCAUCUCCUCUGAGGUCUCAACUACUCCAACUCGUGAGUUUCUCACUUUAAAUUAGUAAUUGUAUCUUCCUUUCCAGUAACGAUUUGUAAAUUUAGGCACAUUUUAAUUAUAAGGUGCACUGGUCUUGAAAAUGAUUAUGCUUCGAACUCUUUUUCUACAUGAAGGGCUAGUGGUUGCACCUGCAUGGCUUAAUUUGCACCUUAUUAAAUACAAACCUAGCUAUGAUUGUUAUAAGUUAUGUAUAUUGUUUUUGCUCUAUAUAUAAAGUUUUUGUUUGUUCUCUUAGAGGAGAGUAUAGUGGUGGCGGAGCCACUUCUAGGCCAGGAGCGGCCCUGGUCCCUUUAUUUUUUUUGACUUCUCUCCUAUAUUAUAUAAUGUAAUAUAUACAACUUACUAAUAGACAACUUGUAAUUCAAAUUAAUGGCCCCUUUAAAAAUAAUUAGGCAUGACUAAUUUUGAAAAUUUUAGCUCUAACAUGUGUUUUGAACACUUAUAUGUAUUUGAUAUACUUGUGUUUUCUAUCUUGGCCCCCUCAAUCUUAAAUUUCUAGCUUCGCCCGGUGAUGAUUUUCUAGAUGACCAUGGUGACGGACGUGGAGGGUAUGGCCACAGACAUGGAGGGUAUGGCCAUGGCCACCACGGCAAAGGGGGGCCUUGUGCUGCUAAGACUGAAACCAAGAAUUAGAUAACCUGUUAGUUUCUGUGACUUACGUUGCAGGUGUGUUGUAAGGGUAGUAGUACAAAAUAAAGUUGUUUGGUUGAGUAAUCUGUAUGAAC
rnacentral:lncRNA from 1 species